rnacentral:sRNA from 1 species
UAUGUCUUGGGUUCAUUUUUUUAAGUAGGGUGUACAUAGCAUCUAACAGUUAAAAGGUAAGAUUAGACCUAGGCAUUUUAGUUUUUAUGUGCAUUGUAAUAACUAAUAGAAAUAUAAAUGUGUAAUAUUUGGUAACUCUCUCUUUACCAGUUUGUCACUCAAGCCCUAUCAGAAGGUUGGUUUGAAUUGGCUGGCAUUGGUACAUAAACAUGGACUUAAUGGCAUUUUGGCAGAUGAAAUGGGCCUAGGAAAAACUAUUCAAGCCAUUGCAUUUCUGGCAUACCUCUAUCAGGAGGGUAAUAAUGGUCCUCAUUUGAUCGUUGUUCCAGCUUCAACUAUAGAUAACUGGUUAAGGGAAGUUAAUUUAUGGUGCCCUACUUUGAAGGUGCUCUGUUACUAUGGUUCUCAAGAAGAACGUAAACAAAUUAGAUUU